UUCAGUCUCAUCUCGCUGGAAUAGUGUUGUCAUGUGUGAAGAUCUACACAAAAUUGAGACUUCUGGCACAGUGGCCUGCACUGUUCGAAGUCUGUAAGAUCAGUGCUGAAUUCAAAAUAAUCACCACAGUUCCCCUGCAAUCCAAGCAACUGUUGCUGAAUUGGCUGAUUUGUACAAGAUGCACCAUUUCUGAGGACUUCUGGCACAGUGGCCUGCACUGUUCAAUGUUCGCAAGGUAAGACAUUCAAUUCGGAUUGUCUUUAAUGUUUUUAUUUGUGAAUUACAGCGUUGUAUCUCCUUUCUUGAAUGUGUGUGUGGGUUUCUCCUAAUGUUAAUGAUUUAAUCGUUAAAUCCUUUGGGCUCUUUAUGUCUUUUCAGAUCAGUGCUGAAUUGAAAAGAAUCACCAGUCCCACUGCAAUGGCCAGCACUGUUCAAAGUCCACAAGGUCAUGGAUGAAGUUGCCGUAGACGAAGCAGUUGAAGACAUCACAAUUGGAAUCUGCUCUGACAGAAGAUUGGGCAUCCCACCCUUUGGACAUUGUCAGUUUUAGUGUAUGUCUGUCACACACGUGACACCCAAUCGGAAAGGACUCUCUUUUUUUUUUCCAGCAACUAAAAAACAGCAGUUAUUUUUGCUUCUUUAAGUGAAAUGUACCUUUUUUCUAGAGAUCUAUUUGCUUGUAUGCACUUCCAGCUCCUUGCUGGUUUAAGAAUAGCACUUGAGUGUGCAUAUGUUUUGUACGUACUGUGUUGAUUUUGACCCAAACUAAAGACAAACAAAAUACCAAAACUAGACUUAAAUAAGACUGGGUAAUGACACAAAUGUGGUCACCAAAGAGGACAACCAAAUGAAUGGUGGACUGCCAGAUGCACGCGCACAUGCAUACAUUAUACGUGCACAUGCAUACAGUAUACGCGCAUGAACGCACACACGCACACCUACAAGUGUGGACUAAUGCACUUAGUCAAUGAGCUAAAAUAACUGUAUGUAGAGUGAAUUUUAUUUGUGCCCGAUGUGUUCACAUGAAUGCUAAUCCAGCCAGAGAGCACUUUUUCACAGCAACCAAACAAAUUAUUUUCUUAAAGGUGCACUGUGUAGGAUGGUGACCAGAGUAGGCAACUAUGCUGAUCAUUGAAACGGUGCUGCCUAUUACAAACUGUGUCCUUUUCAUGAAUAUGUACUUAGUAAUAAACGAAAAUGUAUAAAUGUAUUACGAAAAUGUUUACUAAAAUUCUGUAUUUCUAGAAAUUCAAAAUGACAGUCAGUGGAGAAGAUUCCUCUCUUUCCCCCUUUCAUGUAUGGAAAGAGCAAUUUCCCCAGUCAUAACGACAACUUAAAGUUUGGUGGUGGUAAAUAUUCAUGAAAAAUGCAACAUUUGUGCAUGGGCAGCAUGAAAUCUCAAAAUAAACUACUGAAAGUAAUACACAGUGCACCUUUAAAGCGAAUUGGACUUUCUUUCUGUUCACAGACCCUGCUUGUUGAUUGGUCUAAGAGUAGCAGUUAUUUGUAACUGUGCUUAUGUUUUGUAUAUCUGUGUGCAUUUUACAUGCGUACAGUGAAAGUCAAUACAUUUAAUCACAGAAUUCUGACUCUUUUUGUUGUUUUUGUUUGCACAUGCCUGUACAUCAAAUUGUGAUCUGCAAUG